rnacentral:lncRNA from 1 species
CAUUUUUAACUCUUCUAUUUUUUCAUAUCAGCUCUUCAUUCUAUUGUUUCGUACUUUCAUCAUCGAAAUACCGUGCUACAAUUUAUUAUUAUAAAUUCAUGGGUUAAUGGGUAAAAUAUUUUUUAUUUUAUAAAUAAGUAAAUUAUUUUUUAUUAAUAUGAGUAAUAUUCAUUCUGAUCAAAUGAGUGGAUGUGAUUCAUAUUAAUUCUGCUAUGAAUGAAUAUAUUCAUAAAAACAUUUAUGAAACAAAUGUAUAACUAAGCAUCGUACAUAUAUGGUAAUGUAUAUUAAUUGUUUAAAUAAUAAUUCUUGAGCUUAUAAGUUCGAGCAUUGAGGUUCAUAAUUUUAAAAUUAUAUCUUGACAUAAGAAUUAUAAAGUCAUCGGAAUUAACUGCCAAUUAUAUUCAAACAAGAGUAAUUCUUUAUAUCAACUUUUCUUAUAUAAGACUAUCGAGUCUAUGUGUUAUAUCAAUCAUACUCCUUUCUAGUUUCUUCACAUCUCUCCUUUAGCUUCAUCUCUUCUUCUUGGUGUACUUUAAUGGUUCUGAUCACGGCCUCGAAAGAAGAGAUUGCAGUUUUGGCAAGCUCGUCUGGUAGCCUUUCGAGAUGGUCGUGCCAUGCAUUAAGAAGGGGUUGUAUUGGGGGCAUACAAUAAAAUUGUAUAGAGGAUACUUAGUACCAACAAGCUACGAGUACACAAAUUGUUACCCAUAUAAGCUUAUCGGGGAGUCUAGAUCCUACGCCAACUUAAUAUUUAAUAUUAUGAUUUUACAUACACCAACUAAAAAUUAAGUAUUUUCAUACAUUUAUAUUUUUAUUAUUUUUAAUUUAAGCAUU